rnacentral:rRNA from 1 species
CCCUUAGAUGUCCGGGGCUGCACGCGCGCUACACUGAAGGAAUCAGCGUGCUAAAACCAUUGUCGAAAGGCAUUGGUAAACCCAUUAAAAUCCUACGUGAUUGAGAUCGGGAAUUGCAAUUAUUUCCCUUGAACGAGGAAUUCCCAGUAAGUGUGGGUCAUAAGCUCGCGUUGAUUACGUCCCUGCCCUUUGUACACACCGCCCGUCGCUGCCCGGGACUGAGCCGUUUCGAGAAAAGCGGGGACUGCUGCUGUCGGGGCUUUCGGGCCUUGGCUUCGGUGGAAACCGCUUUAAUCGCAGUGGCUUGAACCGGGCAAAAGUCGUAACA